UCUUGAAGUGCAUCUCAGGCAUCUUAAACUUGGGCCCUUUCAACUUUGCAUCAGGACACUCCAGCUCAACAUCAGGCAUCUUAAACUUGGGCCCUUUCAACUUUGCAUCAGGACACUCCAGCUCAACAUCAGGCACCUCCACACCCACACUGGGACCUGUUAAAUCUCCCUCCAAUUUUGGCACCGACACAUCCACAUCCCCUUUGACUUUGGGGCCUUUCAAGUGUAAGUCCACAUCAGGCAUGGAGAUCUUGGGGGCCUUGAAGUGCAUCUCAGGCAUCUUAAACUUGGGCCCUUUCAACUUUGCAUCAGGACACUCCAGAUCAACAUCGGGCAUGGAGAUCUUGGGGGCCUUGAAAUGCAUCUC
rnacentral:lncRNA from 1 species